rnacentral:rRNA from 1 species
CCUACGGGGGCAGCAGUGGGGAAUAUUGGACAAUGGGGGGAACCCUGAUCCAGCCAUGCCGCGUGUGUGAAGAAGGCCCUCGGGUUGUAAAGCACUUUCAGUGAGGAAGAACGCCUGGUGGUUAAUACCCAUCAGGAAAGACAUCACUCACAGAAGAAGCACCGGCUAACUCCGUGCCAGCAGCCGCGGUAAUACGGAGGGUGCGAGCGUUAAUCGGAAUUACUGGGCGUAAAGCGCGCGUAGGUGGCUUGAUAAGCCGGUUGUGAAAGCCCCGGGCUCAACCUGGGAACGGCAUCCGGAACUGUCAAGCUAGAGUGCAGGAGAGGAAGGUAGAAUUCCCGGUGUAGCGGUGAAAUGCGUAGAGAUCGGGAGGAAUACCAGUGGCGAAGGCGGCCUUCUGGACUGACACUGACACUGAGGUGCGAAAGCGUGGGUAGCAAACAGGAUUAGAUACCCCAGUAGUC